AGCUGAUUGGACUUUACAAAAAGAGGAAAACUGGACGGGUCGGUGAAAGGAUGGAGCAGCUUUUGUUGGCAUAUGGAAAACAGGACAAAAACGACAUCUAUGCAACUAGAACAGCAGCUCUGGCCGGCCUACCAAUGUACCUCAAGGAGGAUUCUUCAGAGAUUUUCAAAACAUGCAAGGAGGAAAUUGAGUUCUAUGAAGCCACAAUUGCUCUGGUUGCUGAUGUCGAUGAAGAGGAGGUGCCUGGAGGAGUUCCUUUCUCACC